GGGAAUAGUUGUCACAUAAGGUUCCUAUUUGGCAUUUGAGCUGGAAAAUUGAUGAGGUUCCUGGUUCACUACUUCAGAGAGCAUGUUCUACCUGGAAUUUUUAAUUAUACUGUACGAUACAAUUCAUUGCACAUGUAUUGUCAAUGAUACACUAGAAACUUUACUUAAAGAUUCACUCUAAGCCCCAGGGAAGGUGUAGAUAGGGCUUUAUAAACAAAGUGAUCUAUCUCUUAAAUGGCAGAAAAUUGAACAUUAAGACUGCAUGGGCAUGAUCUAUGCACCACAACCACUUCAUUAGACACUGUAGGCACUUUAGCAGCUUCAUCCCGCACUGUGGUGGCUAUAGCAUGCGGAGUCCCUUGGCACAGUCCUUUUAUUCAGUGUUAAAACAAUUUUAGUAUUUUAAUAGUAUCUAUGUAGCGUGGACUAAUAAGGAAGCAUUAGCUGUGAUUGGCUGAGAGUUUUAAUUGACCGCUUUCAGCCUAUCACAGUGCCUGUUGAUGGUAUGAAUAGGUGUGACAACAAGGAAGUGUGUAAUCUCUGCCUUAGUCAUAAUUCCAUUAGGAGCUGUGCUGUGGGUGGCCGGGAACCCUUAUUUAAUAUUACAUUGCUUGAAAAUAGUUUAACUUUGAAUAGAGAGACAAUGUCAGGCGACUUCAGACACUAUAACCAAUUUAAUGAUAUGAAAUAUUUAUAGUGCCUACAGUGUCCCUUUAAGCUAAAGUUAUUUUGGUGCCUAGAGCGUCCCUUUAAGGAUUACGAUUAUAGCUAACAAAACUCCAAUACAUGUAUAUUCAUUUCUAUAGUAAAAUAUUUAUACAUGAUAAAUUAUUACAAAAAAAAAAUCCCUACCAUACACAAAGAAAAAACAAUUUUUACACAUCAGGAAAAUAAUACGAUUUGAUAUGCCAGAUAUUCACAUAGUUUCUUUUCAAAUUUUGCCGUGCACAACAUGUGUAAUAAUGCUCGAGGGUCUCCGGUGUAGCAAAUGAUGUCUCCGAUGUGGCAAAAUGAUAAUAGCAGAAAAGCAAAUUAUGACAAUCCAGUACAGAGCUCUCCUCUACUCUCUCACCAGAAUCAUAUUUCAACAAAGAUUCAUGUUAAAAGAUGGAAAGGUCGGCUUGACCUUCAUAACUUGGAGAAAAUAUCUAUGAUUUUAAAUUUUUUUUCCAUUUUUAACU